GAUGAACGCUGGCGGCGUGCCUAAUACAUGCAAGUCGAACGCACAGCGAAAGGUGCUUGCACCUUUCAAGUGAGUGGCGAACGGGUGAGUAACACGUGGACAACCCGCCUCAAGGCUGGGGAUAACAUUUGGAAACAGAUGCUAAUACCGAAUAAAACUUAGUGUCGCAUGACACAAAGUUAAAAGGCGCUUUGGCGUCACCUAAAGAUGGAUCCGCGGUGCAUUAGUUAG
rnacentral:rRNA from 1 species